rnacentral:tRNA from 1 species
UUAAUUGAAGCCAAAACAGAGGCAUAUUACUGUUAAUAAUAUAAUUGAAUUUAAUUCCAAUUAAA